UUUAUGGAGAGUUUGAUCCUGGCUCAGAGUGAACGCUGGCGGCGUGCCUAAUACAUGCAAGUCGAACGAUGAAGCUUCUAGCUUGCUAGAGUGCUGAUUAGUGGCGCACGGGUGAGUAACGCAUAGGUCAUGUGCCUCUUAGUUUGGGAUAGCCAUUGGAAACGAUGAUUAAUACCAGAUACUCCCUACGGGGGAAAGAUUUAUCGCUAAGAGAUCAGCCUAUGUCCUAUCAGCUUGUUGGUAAGGUAAUGGCUUACCAAGGCUAUGACGGGUAUCCGGCCUGAGAGGGUGAACGGACACACUGGAACUGAGACACGGUCCAGACUCCUACGGGAGGCAGCAGUAGGGAAUAUUGCUCAAUGGGGGAAACCCUGAAGCAGCAACGCCGCGUGGAGGAUGAAGGUUUUAGGAUUGUAAACUCCUUUUGUUAGAGAAGAUAAUGACGGUAUCUAACGAAUAAGCACCGGCUAACUCCGUGCCAGCAGCCGCGGUAAUACGGAGGGUGCAAGCGUUACUCGGAAUCACUGGGCGUAAAGAGCGCGUAGGCGGGAUAGUCAGUCAGGUGUGAAAUCCUAUGGCUUAACCAUAGAACUGCAUUUGAAACUACUAUUCUAGAGUGUGGGAGAGGUAGGUGGAAUUCUUGGUGUAGGGGUAAAAUCCGUAGAGAUCAAGAGGAAUACUCAUUGCGAAGGCGACCUGCUGGAACAUUACUGACGCUGAUUGCGCGAAAGCGUGGGGAGCAAACAGGAUUAGAUACCCUGGUAGUCCACGCCCUAAACGAUGGAUGCUAGUUGUUGGAGGGCUUAGUCUCUCCAGUAAUGCAGCUAACGCAUUAAGCAUCCCGCCUGGGGAGUACGGUCGCAAGAUUAAAACUCAAAGGAAUAGACGGGGACCCGCACAAGCGGUGGAGCAUGUGGUUUAAUUCGAAGAUACACGAAGAACCUUACCUAGGCUUGACAUUGAGAGAAUCCGCUAGAAAUAGUGGAGUGUCUGGCUUGCCAGACCUUGAAAACAGGUGCUGCACGGCUGUCGUCAGCUCGUGUCGUGAGAUGUUGGGUUAAGUCCCGCAACGAGCGCAACCCCCUUUCUUAGUUGCUAACAGGUCAUGCUGAGAACUCUAAGGAUACUGCCUCCGUAAGGAGGAGGAAGGUGGGGACGACGUCAAGUCAUCAUGGCCCUUACGCCUAGGGCUACACACGUGCUACAAUGGGGUGCACAAAGAGAAGCAAUACUGCGAAGUGGAGCCAAUCUUCAAAACGCCUCUCAGUUCGGAUUGUAGGCUGCAACUCGCCUGCAUGAAGCUGGAAUCGCUAGUAAUCGCAAAUCAGCCAUGUUGCGGUGAAUACGUUCCCGGGUCUUGUACUCACCGCCCGUCACACCAUGGGAGUUGUGUUUGCCUUAAGUCAGGAUGCUAAACUAGCUACUGCCCACGGCACACACAGCGACUGGGGUGAAGUCGUAACAAGGUAACCGUAGGUGAACCUGCGGUUGGAUCACCUCCUUUCUAGA
rnacentral:rRNA from 1 species